rnacentral:misc_RNA from 1 species
CGUCCACUGAGCGGUUCUUGAUGUGCGGCCCUUUGCGCACUUUAGAU